AGUGAACGCUGGCGGUAGGCCUAACACAUGCAAGUCGAACGGCAGCACAGGAGAGCUUGCUCUCUGGGUGGCGAGUGGCGGACGGGUGAGGAAUACAUCGGAAUCUACUCUGUCGUGGGGGAUAACGUAGGGAAACUUACGCUAAUACCGCAUACGACCUACGGGUGAAAGCAGGGGACCUUCGGGCCUUGCGCGAUUGAAUGAGCCGAUGUCGGAUUAGCUAGUUGGCGGGGUAAAGGCCCACCAAGGCGACGAUCCGUAGCUGGUCUGAGAGGAUGAUCAGCCACACUGGAACGGGGACACGGUCCAGACUCCUACGGGAGUCAGCAGUGGGGAAUAUUGGACAAUGGGCGCAAGCCUGAUCCAGCCAUACCGCGUGGGUGAAGAAGGCCUUCGGGUUGUAAAGCCCUUUUGUUGGGAAAGAAAUCCAGCUGGCUAAUACCCGGUUGGGAUGACGGUACCCAAAGAAUAAGCACCGGCUAACUUCGUGCCAGCCGCCGCAGUAA
rnacentral:rRNA from 1 species